CUCAUACGCAUGUUGUUAAUAAACACAGCAGGGCCCUUCAAGCCUAUUUAAAGAUUCUGAAAAUGAAUGCAUAUUGUAAUAAGCAGCAUUUCUAAUGGUUAAAAUGUGUAUGAAUUGGCUAAGUAUUUUAUCUUUUUCCUCUCAGGACCUUUCCUAUUUAAGGGGAGUCACUGAGUUAAAAUUUAAUGUUAAUACUUCUAAGAGGCUUUGAUUUUAAGCUGACUGAAAAGGAAGUUUCUCUAGAAAUAGAUCUAGAUUUAAAAAACCUCCAGCAGCAAUGGCUCCACCUAACGACCAGAAACUGACGCAGUCUAACAGUGGUUUUGUUUUCAAACUUAGAGGCUGUCAUCUGCUUUAAAAAUCUCCAUAAGGCAAGAUGUUUGAUAUCUCUCAUCACCUUACUUAAAAGUGUUCUCAUCCUUUUAAGUUAUUUAAAGGUAUAAAUCCAAGUCCAUCACAUAAAAACAUAAAUAUUAAUAAAGUAAUUUUUAAAAGUAAGUCAUUGUCUAUUUUUUAAAAGUAAACUAGAGUCUAGACCAGAGAUUUGUCCAGCGUAGGUGAAAAGAAUCAUUUAAUUCAGCGAGGAAAGGUAAAUCCUGUGUGACCAGACAUGCUGGGGAGGAUACCAUCAAUCAGAUUCAUCAAUCAUGACUACAUUCUUGUAGGCCAGGUAUCAAAAGAUUUUAAGCAGGAAUUUGACUCUGACCACUAGUUUAUAUAUUUAACAAAUACUUAUUGGCACAAUGCAAGACAUUUGACAUGUUGCCUGAUCAAAACAUACAUAGUUCCUCCCUUUUUAGAGUUUUCCAUCUGUUGCUAGGUGCCUUUGAGUUAGUUCUGACUCACAGCAACCCUAUGUACAACAAAAUGAAACACUGCCGGCUCCUGCGCCAUCCUCACAAUCGUUGCUAUGUUGGAGCCCAUUGUUGCAGCCACUGUGUCAAUCCAUCUUGUUAAGGGUCUUCUUUUUCACUGGCCCUCUAUUUUACCAGGUGUGAUGUUCUUCUCCAGGAACUGUACCCUCCUGAUUUCAUGUCCAAAGUCUCACCAUCCUCGCUUCUAAGGAGCGUUCUGUCUGUACUUCUUCCAAGACAGAUUUGUUCCUUCUUCUAGCAGUCCAUGGUAUGUUCUUCGCCAACACUGUAAUUCAAGUGCAUCGGUUCUUCAGUCUUCCUUAUUCCUUGUCCAGCUUUCGUAUGCAUAUGAGGCAAUUGAAAAUCAGUCUAGUGAAGGAGAAAGACAAGAAACAAGUAUAUGUAUAAUUGCACAUUAUGAUGAGGCAUUAGAAGAACUGGGUCUCUAUAAGUAAGGCUAACAGAGGUCUCUGGACAUACAGCUCAACUGCUGAGAUCUGCAGGAGGAGUCAAUCUAAGCAGAGAGUGGGGAGAUCUUCAAAGGCUGACAGAAACUCUGACAGAGACACCAUGACUAAUGAUCACUCGAUUACUCAGAGAGCUGCAGUUUGUGUCAUAAGAUGACCAGCACGAUUCUAGACACCAUGGCUACAUUCAAGGCAGAAAGAAGAGGGAAAGAGGCACUAUUAGCCACAACCAUCCAGUAUACUAGGAAAGCAAAAACUUCUCCAGAAAUCCUCAGUAGACCUUCAGAUAUGUUUCACAGAAUCUGUAAGGAAAUGCACACGAAGAAGAAAACAUUUCUUACAAGGGCCAAACAAAACCUUUCUGAUGAAUCAAAUCUUCUCUUAAUAUAAACAAAUGAAAAAUAAUAAUUCUACCCUGAAAAGGCGAUUCAGGUGAUUUUGGAACUGGAAGGCCCUAUGGAAAUCAUCUGGGUUGAAGCUCUCAUUUUAUAGAUGAAGAAACUGAACAAGCGACUUGCCCACGGCCAAAGCCUAUAAUUAAUGGCAGAGUCUGGAUUGGAAGCCACAAUCCUGAUGUCCAGUCUAAACUUGCUUCACUGUGCCACACUUGCUCCCAGGCUGAGACUGGCCAUUUUGUUGGAUGGGUUUGUGUGUGGGUGUAUGUCUUUAACAGAAAUAGAAACAAGAGUAUGCAUAA